rnacentral:rRNA from 1 species
GAUGAACGCUGGCGGCGUGCCUAAUACAUGCAAGUAGAACGCUGAAGGCAGGAGCUUGCUCUUUCCGGAUGAGUUGCGAACGGGUGAGUAACGCGUAGGUAACCUGCCUGGUAGCGGGGGAUAACUAUUGGAAACGAUAGCUAAUACCGCAUAACAGUAGAUGUUGCAUGAUAUCUACUUAAAAGGUGCAAUUGCACCACUACCAGAUGGACCUGCGUUGUAUUAGCUAGCUGGUGAGGUAACGGCUCACCAAGGCGACGAUACAUAGCCGACCUGAGAGGGGAAUCGGCCAAGCUGGGACGGGGAGACGACCCAGACUCCUACGGCAGGGAGACGGAGGGAAUCUUCAGGGAUGGACGGAAUUGUGACCGAGCGACGCCGGGUGAGUGACUAAGGUAUUCGGAUCGUAAAGCUGAGGUAGGAGUGAGGAUCGAGUGGGAGAGUUGAAAGUUCACACUGUGACGGUAUCUGACCAGUAAGGGACGGCUAACUACGUG